rnacentral:rRNA from 1 species
CCGCGUGAGUGAUGAAGGUUUUCGGAUCGUAAAAGUCUGUUGUUAGGGAAGAACAAGUACGAGAGUAACUGCUCGUACCUUGACGGUACCUAACCAGAAAGCCACGGCUAACUACGUGCCAGCAGCCGCGGUAAUACGUAGGUGGCAAGCGUUGUCCGGAAUUAUUGGGCGUAAAGCGCGCGCAGGCGGUCCUUUAAGUCUGAUGUGAAAGCCCACGGCUCAACCGUGGAGGGUCAUUGGAAACUGGGGGACUUGAGUACAGAAGAGAAGAGUGGAAUUCCACGUGUAGCGGUGAAAUGCGUAGAGAUGUGGAGGAACACCAGUGGCGAAGGCGACUCUUUGGUCUGUAACUGACGCUGAGGCGCGAAAGCGUGGGGAGCAAACAGGAUUAGAUACCCUGGUAGUCCACGCUGUAAACGAUGAGUGCUAAGUGUUAGAGGGUUUCCGCCCUUUAGUGCUGCAGCUAACGCAUUAAGCACUCCGCCUGGGGAGUACGGCCGCAAGGCUGAAACUCAAAGGAAUUGACG